rnacentral:piRNA from 1 species
UGAGUGUAUUGAGAUUCAAUCUGGUUAGUCUC